UACGUAGGGUGCGAGCGUUGUCCGGAAUUACUGGGCGUAAAGAGCUCGUAGGUGGUUUGUCGCGUUGUCCGUGAAAACUCACAACUCAAUUGUGGGCGUGCGGGCGAUACGGGCAGACUGGAGUACUGCAGGGGAGACUGGAAUUCCUGGUGUAGCGGUGGAAUGCGCAGAUAUCAGGAGGAACACCGAUGGCGAAGGCAGAUCUCUGGGCCGUAACUGACGCUGAGGAGCGAAAGCAUGGGGAGCGAACAGG
rnacentral:rRNA from 1 species